rnacentral:rRNA from 1 species
AGCUCCAAUAGCGUAUAUUAAAGUUGUUGCAGUUAAAAAGCUCGUAGUUGGAUCUGUGGCGUACGGUGUGUUCCGGGCACUUGUUGUCUGAGUAACUCGCCGUUGCCAUCCUUGGGUGGAACCUGUGUGGCAUUAGGUUGUCGUGCAGGGGAUGCCCAUCGUUUACUGUGAAAAAAUUAGAGUGUUCAAAGCAGGCUUAUGCCGUUGAAUAUAUUAGCAUGGAAUAAUGAGAUAGGACUUUUUCGCUAUUUUGUUGGUUUGCGCGAAGAGGUAAUGAUUAAUAGGGACAGUUGGGGGUAUUCGUAUUCCAUUGUCAGAGGUGAAAUUCUUGGAUUUUUGGAAGACGAACUACUGCGAAAGCAUUUACCAAGGAUGUUUUCAUUAAUCAAGAACGAAAGUA